CCUACGGGAGGCAGCAGUAGGGAAUAUUGCUCAAUGGGCGCAACCCUGAAGCAGCAACGCCGCGUGGGGGAUGAAGGUUUUCGGAUUGUAAAGCCCUUUUGUUAGAGAAGAUAAUGACGGUAUGUAACGAAUAAGCACCUGCUAACUCCGAGCCAGCAGCCGCGGGAAUACGGAGGGCGAAAGCGUUACUCGGAAUCAAUGGGCGGAAAGUGAGCGGAGGCGGGUUAGCAAGUCAGAUGUGAAAUCCUACGGCUUAACCCUAGAAGUGCAUUUGAAACUGGUAUUCUUGAGUAUGGAAGAGGUAGGUGGAAUGCUUGGUGUAGCGGUAGAAUGCGUAGAGAUAAAGAGGAACACUCGUUGCGAAGGCGACCUGCUGGUACAUAACUGACGCUGAGGCGCGAAAGCGUGGGGAGCGAACAGGAUUAGAUACCCCUGUAGUC
rnacentral:rRNA from 1 species